UACCAGCCCUCCGAGUGGUAGGGAUGAUUAUUGGGCUUAAAGCGUCCGUAGCCGGCUUAGCAAGUUUCCUGUUAAACUCAGCGACCUAAUCGUUGAAUCGCGGGAAAUACUACUAGGCUAGGAGGCGGGAGAGGUUGACGGUACUUCUGGGGUAGGGGUGAAAUCCUAUAAUCCCGGGAGGACCACCAGUGGCGAAGGCUGUCGACUAGAACGCGCUCGACGGUGAGGGACGAAAGCUGGGGUAGCGAACCGGAUUAGAUACCCGGGUAGUCCCAGCUGUAAACGAUGCGGGCUAGGUGUUGGGAUGGCUACGUGCCAUUUCAGUGCCGCAGGGAAGUCAUUAAGCCCGCCGCCUGGGGAGUACGGCCGCAAGGCUAGAAACUUAAAGGAAUUGGCGGGGAGCACCACAAGGCGUGAAGCUUGCGGUUC
rnacentral:rRNA from 1 species